GAAGAAAUACUUCUCUUCUUCUCAUCCUCAUGGGGCAGAAAAGCUCACAAGAUGUCUGUGUGAAACCUCUGCCUUCCUUCAUAGACAGAUUCAAAGCUCUAUCUAAGAAGCACAGGAAGCAGGCCUGUUAAAACAUUGGUAGCUCUGCUGAGAUUUAUCUUCAUUCAGGACCUGCAACUUCACUCAGGUGUCCAGACAGCCUCCUUUUAAAGGUGCAAGCAGAAUGGCAUUAUCAUUUGAAAUGCAAUGAAAAACAGUAAAAUGGGAACAAUCAUUACUUUAACUGCUUCAUGAUCGCCCCGGCAUUCGUAUUUCAGUCUGUGGCUUCCUGAAUAUGUGCCACAAGGCAAUGAAUUUUCUAUCAACCCAUUUUGAUUCGGCAGAACACUUGAAACUAAUGUACAGGCAGUGGAAGGAAUUUGUCAAUGGAAUUUUGCAUUGAGAGUUGCUCUAUUGAUUUGAUAACUAUUGUCUUUGCUUUAAGCCUCUGAUUCUAAAGCACAAAUUGCACUGAUAAUAAAUACAUCCAGGACUAACUAUAGGAAGUGCUUGACUCUAAACACGUUUACCUGAUUUAUAAUAGAACAUGAUUCCAAGUAAGUAUGCAUAUGCCACAUCUUUAAAGUAUUUGAGAUUAGAAUGGCAGUGGUUCCCAGGACCCUUAACACACUACAGUCCAGGAUUUUUUGAGGUGUGUGUGGAA